GAUACGAAGCACUGCAGAAUCCCGUGGAGCUGGGUGGGAUGCUAGAUAUACAUCGCGGUUGCUGGUAUUCCCACUGUGAUUGUAUUUUCAUUAUUUUAUUGGUUCGGUGAGACUCCCAUGAUAGGUAUCCAUUUACCUCUGGAGAAUCCGUAAAUAAACAAAACAAACAAACUAUGGAACAGGUGCAAAGCCACUUCGAGGCACUGCCUGGUUUGGAAGAACAGCCAGGCACUCAGUAAUGCCAUCCGUCAAGAUUAACUGCUGGAGAACAUCACUGGUCUUCCGCCCAGCCUAGCUCAUGCACACUCACAUGAUGUGGUGCAUCUAUAGAAAUAAGGCCUCUACUUUCCCACUCAUGGCACGUUCUGCUCGAAGGAUGCGCACUCCUGCGGAUGUGUUCCUGUCGUGUCACAGCUGUUAAUGCCUCAUCAAGCGUAUUCACCCAGGCUACACCCAGAUUACACCCGGGUAUCAGCAUUGAAGUUCAAUAAUGAUGCCAUGGUGUGAGACUUGGACUACGUCCACUGCUGUUGUCACUAUGACUAUGUAGCUGGCGCCGCACCGCUUGAGCUCUCUUGGGUGCCAUUCUAUCACUGCUAUGACUGCCCAAAACCUACUAUAAAGCUGGAUAAAGGACUGUUUCUGCUGCUUAUAUAAGAAGCCUCUGUUGCAGAACUGGAGGCCUGCUCAAUCAGCCCAUUCCGAAAUGGUGCCACACGUUGCACCAGGUCGUGUGGCUGCUGCGAUCACAGUGCCGUCGAGUGAGUGUCCCGUGAUUCCAAGGGUGGCGGCGCAAGUGCAUCAAGCCAGUCUUUUCGCCCUGCGAAGUCUUUGAGUGUAGCGCCAGGCUUUCCGAGACGGGACACCGCGGAGUGCCAAGUCAGGAUCACAGGAUCAGCAGCCAAGUGCACCAUGUCCUGAUCAUGGUAAACUGCAGACAUAUCAGCCUAACCCCUAUAAAAGCUGUAACCGAAUGUCUGAUUGCUCAACGAGAUGUUUUCAGAGACUGAGUCGUAACAAGACAAACCACUAUAAGCAAGAGUAUAAUAACUUCCCGUAUACUCUUACUACAAGUAAUAGUUGUAGUGCAAGUGCACUGCAACGCAGUCACUAUUGGCUGCUUUUCAAUCCUGGCGCAUGAGGCAUCAGCGGGUAAUGCUAGCAUUAAAACUAGCAUAAUGGGGGUGUUCGCAGAGGGGGGCAUUGCCCCGGCAUAAUGAGGCAUCUUUUUGGAGAAACUAGCAUAAUUCGGGAUUUUCAGCGUCUUUGUGGUCCACUUCACAACAAUAACACACACAGAAGUCUCUGCUGUGAGCACGGUGGCUCGGCAAUGGCGGGUAAUGCUAGCAUUAAAACUAGCAUAAUGGGGGUGUUCGCAGAGGGGGGCAUUGCCCCGGCAUAAUGAGGCAUCUUUUUGGAGAAACUAGCAUAAUUCGGGAUUUUCAGCAUCUCAUGGCCAGAGAGUCGUAGAAUACAGUACUCCCCGAUCAACCUGAUCAACCGCAAACUAUACCAUUGCGUACAACGAUGUCGCCUUUGUACGAGUAGAAGUAGUCUACCACCGAUCAAUCAAUUUUUGCGCGUAUAUCUUUAUACAUGUAUGUACUUUGGAAACUGACUUUUUCGCGUACUCUUCUGCGAUUUGUUUGCUGUAUUUGGUCAUUUUGUAUUAUAAUUCUUGCUUGCAUAAAACGCCCUAAACUAGCAUAAAAAGCAUUAAAACGAGCAUUAUUAUCCUGUUUUUGCUGGCAUUCUGAAAAGCAUAAUCGACUGAGUUUACUAGCAUUACCCGCUGAUGCCUAUGGCACAUUCAUUCUUCAGAUUCUUGCAAAUCGUAGCAACAAGAUCACUUUUUAGUUUUUACAAAGUUUUUAUUAGCAAUUCCGCUGAGUUGUUUGUUCAUUUCUCAUUUCACAAGGAAUACUUGGACGGGUACAGCAUUUUACCGCAAGUGCAGACGGGUAAGUAACAAGUUUCAACACAACGCAGAGUUCGCGACCGCACAGCGUCCUGGCGAAUGGUUUUGCUGAUUCACUUUCAUUACGAAGCAAUAAUAUUAAAUUUGUUUUUGUUUCUGUACAGACUAUGUUACAGUAUGUAGUAUGUUGUCUGUAGCGUAGGCGGGCUUCCCACUGUCGCACCGGUUCCUGUGCAGAAGUACAUGCUGAA